CAAUUCCCACUGAAAAGCCGAAGACGACGGCAGCAGGAAUCGGUCAGCCAACAUUCGGGAUUCGAUUGACGCCUUUAUUUUUAUCUGCUGCAUUUUUGACUUGCUGCCGGUUAAGAUACACACACACACUUGCACACACAAACUUACACACACACACACACAUGUAUUGAUGAAAGGAUGCUCAACAAUUAUGCAACGCUAGCGACAUCUAACGGCGACACUAGUCAACACUAAUCAAGCAGCAAAUAAAGCUUAAUACAAACUAAUCAAA